CUAAGUACCCCGAGGAAAAGAAAUCAACCGAGAUUCCCCCAGUAGCGGCGAGCGAACGGGGAGCAGCCCAGAGUCUGAAUCAGCUUGUGUGUUAGUGGAACGGUCUGGAAAGUCCGACGGUACAGGGUGAUAGUCCCGUACACCAAAAUGCACAGGUUGUGAACUCGAAGAGUAGGGCGGGACACGUGGUAUCCUGUCUGAAUAUGGGGGGACCAUCCUCCAAGGCUAAAUACUCCUGACUGACCGAUAGUGAACCAGUACCGUGAGGGAAAGGCGAAAAGAACCCCGGCGAGGGGAGUGAAAAAGAACCUGAAACCGUGUACGUACAAGCAGUGGGAGCACCUUCGGGUGUGACUGCGUACCUUUUGUAUAAUGGGUCAGCGACUUAUAUUCUGUAGCAAGGUUAACCGUAUAGGGGAGCCGCAGGGAAACCGAGUCUUAACUGGGCGUUAAGUUGCAGGGUAUAGACCCGAAACCCGGUGAUCUAGCCAUGGGCAGGUUGAAGGUUGGGUAACACUAACUGGAGGACCGAACCGACUAAUGUUGAAAAAUUAGCGGAUGACUUGUGGCUGGGGGUGAAAGGCCAAUCAAACCGGGAGAUAGCUGGUUCUCCCCGAAAGCUAUUUAGGUAGCGCCUCGUGAAUUCAUCUUCGGGGGUAGAGCACUGUUUCGGCUAGGGGGUCAUCCCGACUUACCAACCCGAUGCAAACUACGAAUACCGAAGAAUGUUAUCACGGGAGACACACGGCGGGUGCUAACGUCCGUCGUGAAGAGGGAAACAACCCAGACCGCCAGCUAAGGUCCCAAAGUCAUGGUUAAGUGGGAAACGAUGUGGGAAGGCACAGACAGCCAGGAUGUUGGCUUAGAAGCAGCCAUCAUUUAAAGAAAGCGUAAUAGCUCACUGGUCGAGUCGGCCUGCGCGGAAGAUGUAACGGGGCUAAACCAUGCACCGAAGCUGCGGCAGCGACACUAUGUGUUGUUGGGUAGGGGAGCGUUCUGUAAGCCUGCGAAGGUGGCCUGUGAGGGUUGCUGGAGGUAUCAGAAGUGCGAAUGCUGACAUAAGUAACGAUAAAGCGGGUGAAAAGCCCGCUCGCCGGAAGACCAAGGGUUCCUGUCCAACGUUAAUCGGGGCAGGGUGAGUCGACCCCUAAGGCGAGGCCGAAAGGCGUAGUCGAUGGGAAACAGGUUAAUAUUCCUGUACUUGGUGUUACUGCGAAGGGGGGACGGAGAAGGCUAUGUUAGCCGGGCGACGGUUGUCCCGGUUUAAGCAUGUAGGCUGGUUAUCCAGGCAAAUCCGGAUAAUCAAGGCUGAGGUGUGAUGACGAGGCACUACGGUGCUGAAGUAACAAAUGCCCUGCUUCCAGGAAAAGCCUCUAAGCAUCAGGUAACAUUAAAUCGUACCCCAAACCGACACAGGUGGUCAGGUAGAGAAUACCAAGGCGCUUGAGAGAACUCGGGUGAAGGAACUAGGCAAAAUGGUGCCGUAACUUCGGGAGAAGGCACGCUGGUGUGUAGGUGAAGUCCCUGCGGAUGGAGCUGAGACCAGUCGAAGAUACCAGCUGGCUGCAACUGUUUAUUAAAAACACAGCACUGUGCAAACACGAAAGUGGACGUAUACGGUGUGACGCCUGCCCGGUGCCGGAAGGUUAAUUGAUGGGGUUAUCCGUAAGGAGAAGCUCUUGAUCGAAGCCCCGGUAAACGGCGGCCGUAACUAUAACGGUCCUAAGGUAGCGAAAUUCCUUGUCGGGUAAGUUCCGACCUGCACGAAUGGCGUAAUGAUGGCCAGGCUGUCUCCACCCGAGACUCAGUGAAAUUGAACUCGCUGUGAAGAUGCAGUGUACCCGCGGCAAGACGGAAAGACCCCGUGAACCUUUACUAUAGCUUGACACUGAACAUUGAGCCUUGAUGUGUAGGAUAGGUGGGAGGCUUUGAAGCGUGGACGCCAGUCUGCGUGGAGCCAACCUUGAAAUACCACCCUUUAAUGUUUGAUGUUCUAACGUUGGCCCCUGACCGGGGUUGCGGACAGUGUCUGGUGGGUAGUUUGACUGGGGCGGUCUCCUCCCAAAGCGUAACGGAGGAGCACGAAGGUUAGCUAAUCCUGGUCGGACAUCAGGAGGUUAGUGCAAUGGCAUAAGCUAGCUUGACUGCGAGCGUGACGGCGCGAGCAGGUGCGAAAGCAGGUCAUAGUGAUCCGGUGGUUCUGAAUGGAAGGGCCAUCGCUCAACGGAUAAAAGGUACUCCGGGGAUAACAGGCUGAUACCGCCCAAGAGUUCAUAUCGACGGCGGUGUUUGGCACCUCGAUGUCGGCUCAUCACAUCCUGGGGCUGAAGUAGGUCCCAAGGGUAUGGCUGUUCGCCAUUUAAAGUGGUACGCGAGCUGGGUUUAGAACGUCGUGAGACAGUUCGGUCCCUAUCUGCCGUGGGCGCUGGAGAAUUGAGGGGGGCUGCUCCUAGUACGAGAGGACCGGAGUGGACGCAUCACUGGUGUUCGGGUUGUCAUGCCAAUGGCACUGCCCGGUAGCUAAA
rnacentral:rRNA from 1 species